rnacentral:lncRNA from 1 species
UUUUUUUGGAGGGGUUAAACAAGACCAUAGUCUCUUUAUAUAUUUUUAGGUAAAAGGUAAAGAAACUGGUUUGAGAUUCUCGAAUUUACACGCAUAGAAGUUUACAGUUCUUCAAAUGAGAACACAUGUUAAUAACCCUAGGUGUGGAAGUAAUUUGUGAAAUAUUGCACACUGGUUUUUUUCUCUAUUCAUUUAUUUAAACAAGCAAAAGCAAAUGGAAAUAUACACAGUUCCUUAAACAGGAAAUGCAAAGAAUAAUCAACAAAUCCUGACCAGCAGGUCUGAAAUUAAUCAGUAUUAUACACAGAGUAACUCAGAUGCAGCAAAAGAAAAUACAGAAAUAACUCAUUUGAUUUCUGCCUAUAAGUGAUGAAUAAAAUUUUCAAAUAUUCUAAAAUUAAAAUGCUUAUAGACUUUAUACACUAUGUAUAAACUAUUAGAAAAAUCAUGCUAAGUAUUUGUAAGUACUGUGAUAAACAAAAUUCUUUCAGGCCCCAACUGUUUUUUUUAAUGUAUAUUACUUUGCAAAACAAUCAUUAUGAUUUUUAUUUGCAAUCUUAUGGGUCUAAUAAUCAGCAAAGUAGGCUCAAUACUCUCCUUAUAAAUGUUCAAUGAAGAAUUUUCCCACCUGGAGUUUCCAUUGUGGCUCAGCAGUAACAAAUUGUACUAGUAUCCCUGAGGAUAUUAGUAUCCUACUAGCAGUAACAAAUCCUACUAGUAUCCAUGAGAAUACCCCUGGCCUCACUCAGUGGGUUAAGUAUGCAGCAUUGUCAUGAGCUGUGAUGCAGGUCACAGAUGCAGCUUGGAUAUGGUGCUGCUGUGGCUGUGGUGUAGGGUUGAAAACUUAGAAAAUACAAGAUAGAAAAAUAAACAGGAUCAGCCACGAUGCCCUCAUACAAACAAUGACAUUUAAACCUCUUUCCUUUUCGCUCUGCAUUGGAUUGUGGGAAGUGAGAGCAGGCCGUAUCCUCAAUUUUAUUUUCUGAUUGACUUCUUCAUUCAUCAAAGUAUUUUCCCAGGUGAUUGAAAGCUCUUCAUUUCAUAGGUUUUAAAAGUCCUUAUCUUUGGGUGCUCCUUGGGAAGUAUGGAAAAUAUUUCAUAAUCAGAUAUUAGCCACAAUGGAGAGUUAGCCAACUCUGAAAGGUAACAGUGCAAUCAAGCUAUCAUAAUUUAAAUAUUUAGAUAGCACCUAUCACUGACAUGCUCUGUAGGUUGAUAAAUGAUCUGGGUUAAUAUAAAAACAAAAUAGAAGCAUUUCCUCUAUAGGAAGGCCUAGGAUAUACUGGCAAUGUGCCUUUAGAUAAAAAUGGGAUUUAUCUGACUACUGAAACGCUAAUAAAAAGGAAAGCAUUGCUUUUUCUUUGGAUAGUCUCAUUUUUAGCUAUAUUAGAGCUUAGGAUAUUAGAGCAUGAGCUACCAAUGUAUCUGUUUAAGAGGGAGAGAAUGAGAAAGACAUUUAAAUGUGGUAAAAAUUCAUCUUAUUCAAAUUGGUUUUAAAUCUUAAAACACAGGUAUAUCAGGAUAGAAUUUCAAAAUUCACUUUAAUCAGACCAAAUGUUAUAAAACCCAAUAAACUAAUACUUAUAAAUAAUGAAAGACACUUGAUUCAAGUUUCAGCAUAAGGAGAUUUGAUGGCUUUCCUAAAAGGCUCACAGUUUGGACAUUCUCUGGAAGGCAAAGGCAGAAGGUGAAGUUGAAAAAAAGAAAAGUCAAUCCAAUUGGAUUUUUUAAAAGCAAGAAAUUAUUAUACACACACAUAUGUAUUUAUGUAUGUAUAUAUAUGUAUGUGUAUACAUACAUGUAUGUGUGUGUUGUGUAUACCCUUAAUAUUAGGCCCCUAUAUAAAAGCGAAGAUAUUAAAGGAACUUUCUUCCCUACCUUCCAAGAGGUCAACCAGUCAACAUUAAUCUUGGUUGUAUAGCCUUCGACAUAUAUUUACAAACUUCCCACUAACACUACUUUUGGGUAUAAUUCCCAAUCUUCCAUGAAUUAUGCAAAAGUCUUCUAACUGAUCUCCCUUCUCCCAUCCUACCACCUAUUUUCACUCAACAGAGAGAACCUAUUGAAAAGGAUGUUUGACCACUUCCUUUCUCUACUUAAAACCCUUCAAUGGCUUCCUAAUUCCUGAUGGAGCAUCAGUCUUUCAAUGAUCCCCAUGGCCUGCUGAUCUGCCAGCCCUCCCUAUCACCUCUCUGACAUAUCCCAUAUGACCACAGUGAAAACCAAAGAACUGGCUAUGACCAAGCUGAAGAACUGGAUGACUAUCCCAGGCAAACUAUCUGAACUGAAACCCAUGGCAGUAGAGUGAAAGGAUCCAGGAUUCCUGCUCCCGCUGAGGUCAAAACAUAACAACCACCUCCAUACAGACAAAAAAUUAUUCCACAGGUAGGAAAAUCUACAACAGUGGCCUGAGUAUUGAGGUCCUGUGGAAGCUAGUAAAAAAAGGAAGAGGCUAGAGGGGUAUUAUAAUGUGAUGAAAUAAACAAUCACGGAGAGGCAUUGCUGAACUAGCACUGAACUAACUUCUUUUCACAGAUUAUAAGCAAAAGUCCCUGUUCUUUGAGAAUAAGGGUCUCAUUGGCAAAUAACGAGAAUGAGGAAGGGUAUGACUAAAAUUUUACCACCAAAAAAAAUGAACUAAAAAUUCUGGAAAAAAAAAAAACUUUGUUUUUCAAAAUAAAAUAUGGGUUAUAAUGGCAGCAAGGGCACCAAUCAAGUUGCCAAUGGGGUUAUAUGAUAUGUGACUGCACAACUGACUCAAAAGAGGCAUCGGCUAUUUUCACAAACAUGUUCAAAGACUACAUCAACUUUCCUAAAUAUCCCUCCUCAUCCUUUUCACUUGCAUCUUUUUCUUCUGAAGCACCUAACACCAUCUCUGUCAAAUUUUUCUUUAUCUACUGCUAACUUGUUUGACUCUCCGGGCUACUCAUUUCUCUGAGGCUUUUAAUUGCAAUUUAAGCAACUUUCUGAUAUCUUCUUUUUUUUUUUUUUUUUUUUUUUUUUUUUUGGCUUUUAAGGGCCACAGGUGCAGUAUGUGGAAGUUCCCAGGCUAGGGGUCAAAUCAGAGUUGCAGUUGCCAGCCACAGCCACAGCCACAGCCACAGCAAUGUGGGAUCUGAGCCAUGUGUGCGACCUACACCACAGCUCACGGCAAUGCUGGAUCCUUAACCCACUGAGCAAGGCCAGGGAUCAAACCUGCAUCCUCAUGGAUACUGAUUGAGUUCUUUUCACUGAGCCACAAGGAGAACUCCUCUAAUAUCAUUUUAACUAACUUCAGAAAACCUGCAUCUUUUGUUA